GUGGGGUAAUGGCCUACCAAGGCAUCGACGGGUAGCUGGUCUGAGAGGACGAUCAGCCACACUGGGACUGAGACACGGCCCAGACUCCUACGGGAGGCAGCAGUAGGGAAUCUUGCGCAAUGGGCGAAAGCCUGACGCAGCAACGCCGCGUGGGGGAUGACGGCUCUAGGGUUGUAAACCCCUUUCAGCAGGGACGAAAAUGACGGUACCUGCAGAAGAAGGUCCGGCCAACUACGUGCCAGCAGCCGCGGUAAUACGUAGGGACCAAGCGUUGUCCGGAAUUAUUGGGCGUAAAGAGCUCGUAGGCGGUUCGGUAAGUCGGGUGUGAAAAUCCAGGGCUCAACCCUGGGACGCCACCCGAUACUGCUGUGACUAGAGUCCGGUAGAGGAGCGUGGAAUUCCUGGUGUAGCGGUGAAAUGCGCAGAUAUCAGGAGGAACACCAGCGGCGAAGGCGGCGCUCUGGGCCGGUACUGACGCUGAGGAGCGAAAGCAUGGGGAGCAAACAGGAUUAGAUACCCUGGUAGUCCAUGCCGUAAACGUUGGGCACUAGGUGUGGGUCUCAACCAACGAGAUCCGCGCCGUCGCUAACGCAUUAAGUG
rnacentral:rRNA from 1 species